rnacentral:rRNA from 1 species
AUUAUUAUAUAUAUAUAUAAAAAUAUAUUAAUAAAUAUAUAAUUAUAUAUUAUUAUAAAAUAUUAUUGAUAUUAUAAAUAUAAAAUAUAAUAUAUUAUGUAAUAUGGUGGUAUAAUAAUGUAAUAAUAAUAAGUAUAAUUAUAAUUAAAAUUAUUAUCUAUUAUAAUCUAUUAUUAUUUAUAAAUACUUAUAUAGUAUUAUAAGUAAU